rnacentral:misc_RNA from 1 species
GAUGAAGAACGUAGCGAAAUGCGAUAAGUAAUGCGAAUUGCAGAAUUUCCGUGAAUCAUCGAAUCUUUGAACGCACAUUGCGCCCUUUGGUAUUCCUUAGGGCAUGCCUGUUCGAGCGUCAUCUACACCCUCAAGCACAGCUUGGUGAUGGGCGCCUGUCCCGCCCCCCACGGGGGCGCGGACUCGCCUCAAAUGCAUUGGCGGCCGGCGACCUGGCUUCGAGCGCAGCAGAAACGCGUACUCGGGGACCGGGCGCCCGCUCCCAGAAGCCAACCCACCCAGUUUGACCUCGGAUCAGGUAGGGAUACCCGCUGAACUUAAGCAUAUCAAUAAGCGGAGGA